rnacentral:rRNA from 1 species
GUCUAUGACCAUGCCACCCUGAACAAGCCAGAUCCUGUCUGAUCUCAGAAACUAAGUAGGGUCGGGCCUGAUUAGUACUUGGAUGGGAGACCACCUAGGAAGACCAGAUGCUGUAGGCA